rnacentral:rRNA from 1 species
GACGGGGGAUGCAAGCGUUAUGCGGAAUCACUGGGCGUAAAGCGUCUGUAGGUGGUGAAGCAAGUCACUGGUGCAAAACUCUGGCUCAACCGGAGGAAAGCCAGUGAAACUGCAUGACUAGAGUGUGGGAGAGGUAGAAGGAAUUCCCUGAGUAGCGGUGAAAUGCGUAGAUACAGGGAAGAACACCGGAGGCGAAAGCGUUCUACUGGAACACAACUGACACUGAGAGUCGAAAGCUAGGGGAGCGAAUGGG